GCAUGAUAAUUUGCCCUUUAAUUGUGGGCUUGAACGAAAGAAUUAACGAAGGUUUAGCUGUCUCUAUUUUAUUAUUAGAAAUUAGUAUUUAAGUGAAAAAACUUAUAUUUAUAAGAAGGACAAAAAGACCCCAUAGAGCUUGGUAAAUUCUUAUUUAAAAAAAGAAAGUAGGUUUAUAUUUUUUUGUUAAUAAGUAAUACUUAACUGGGGCGGUUGAUGAAAAUAUUAAAUCUUCUUUUUAGCAAUUUAGUUAACAAACUUAUUAUUUAAUGACCCUUUAAAAGAUCAUAGGAUUAGCUACCUUGGGGGUAACAGACUAAUUUUUUUUGAGAGUUCGUAUUGACAAAAAAGU
rnacentral:rRNA from 1 species